rnacentral:rRNA from 1 species
AGUGAACGCUGGCGGUAGGCCUAACACAUGCAAGUCGAACGGCAGCACAGUAAGAGCUUGCUCUUACGGGUGGCGAGUGGCGGACGGGUGAGGAAUACAUCGGAAUCUACUUUUUCGUGGGGGAUAACGUAGGGAAACUUACGCUAAUACCGCAUACGACCUACGGGUGAAAGCAGGGGAUCUUCGGACCUUGCGCGAUUGAAUGAGCCGAUGUCGGAUUAGCUAGUUGGAGGGGCAAAGGCCCACCAAGGCGACGAUCCGUAGCUGGUCUGAGAGGAUGAUCAGCCACACUGGAACUGAGACACGGUCCAGACUCCUACGGGAGGCAGCAGUGGGGAAUAUUGGACAAUGGGCGCAAGCCUGAUCCAGCCAUACCGCGUGGGUGAAGAAGGCCUUCGGGUUGUAAAGCCCUUUUGUUGGGAAAGAAAAGCAGCAGGUUAAUACCCCGCUGUUCUGACGGUACCCAAAGAAUAAGCACCGGCUAACUUCGUG